CGAAAUGCGAUACUUGGUGUGAAUUGCAGAAUCCCGUGAACCAUCGAGUUUUUGAACGCAAGUUGCGCCCGAUGCCAUUAGGUUGAGGGCACGUCUGCCUGGGCGUCACACACAGCGUCG
rnacentral:rRNA from 1 species